rnacentral:rRNA from 1 species
UCGAGAAUCUUGGGCAAUGCGCGAAAGCGUGACCCAGCAAUGCCGCGUGCGGGACGAAGGUCUUCGGAUUGUAAACCGCUGUCACUCGGGACGAAAACAUGACGGUACCGAGGGAGGAAGCCACGGCUAACUACGUGCCAGCAGCCGCGGUAAUACGUAGGUGGCGAGCGUUGUUCGGAUUUAUUGGGCGUAAAGGGUCCGCAGGAGGUCUGUUAAAUUCGAGGUGAAAUCCCGGAGCUCAACUCCGGAACUGCCUUGGAGACUGAUGGACUAGAGUGCUGGAGAGGUAAGCGGAAUUCCAGGUGUAGCGGUGGAAUGCGUAGAUAUCUGGAAGAACACCAAAAGCGAAGGCAGCUUACUGGACAGUAACUGACUCUCAUGGACGAAAGCGUGGGGAGCAAACA